ensembl:lncRNA
CAUGGCAAGACCAUCGAGAGAGAGAGAGAGAGAGAGAGAGAGAGAGAGAGAGAGAGAGAAAGGAAGGUUACUUCUAGGGAGUAACCUACUUAGGAUAAAAGCUUUUGGGAUUCUAAAAAUCUUUCUUCCUUAGGCCCUGAACUCAAACUUUUUUACCCCUCACCCAAAACCCCUAAGGCAAUUGAAAGCUAGUUUAUUUCCCAAUCUCUACUACUUCUGUACUUUCUGAAAGUCAGUUGCCUCAAAAGGAAAAAUGGCACCAAGUUAUGCACUAAACAUUGUUGGAUUUAGGUUCCUUGGACUUACAGAAUUUUAGUUGUUCCAGAAAAAGUAGCCUCUGUGAUGUCUACCUCAGGUGUGACCCAUGGAAGAUAAUGAAAUAGGAAGAUCUUACAAAGCCAGAAACUAACAGGCAUUUUACCAAUAUCCUGUUCCUUGUCCGCUAGGCAAUACUUAAUAGGCAGUACUGAAAUACUGACAUGGGGAUGGAGAUAGAGUCUCAUGACAAAAAUAGAGGUGAACGUGUUGUGGAAAAUAUAAAGAUGGAAGUCAGAAGCUGAGAAAGCUGAGACAGAAAGAUAAGAAACUUGGUUCAUUCAUGACAUCCUGAAGUUGCUGCAGAAGUCCUAGAAUGACUACAUCUGGACUUAAAUGUCAAAAAUAAAUACCUGUUUAAACAGUUUUUUGGCUUUAUAGCUGAACAUAGGCUUG